rnacentral:rRNA from 1 species
GACGAACGCUGGCGGCGUGCUUAACACAUGCAAGUCGAGCGGCGCGGCGAACGGGUGAGUAACGCGUGAGUAACUGCCCCCCUCUCUGGGAUAACAGUUGGAAACGGCUGCUAAUACCGGAUAGUGGGGUAUGACUCGCGUCCUAUCAGCUUGUUGGUGGGGUAGUGGCCUACCAAGGCGACGACGGGGCGCCGGCCUGGGAGGGCGACCGGCCACAUUGGGCUGUGGUGCGGUCCAAAAUGCUACGGGGGGCAGGAGUGGAGAAUAUUGCACGAUGGGGGGAACCCUGAAGCAGCAACGCGCGUGCGAGAUGACGGCCUUCGGGUUGUAAACCGCUUUGAGCCAUGACGCGGUAGUGGCAGAAGAAGCACCGGCUAACUACGUGCCAGCCGCCGCGGUAAUAC